rnacentral:rRNA from 1 species
AUUGAACGCUGGCGGCAGGCCUAACACAUGCAAGUCGAGCGGCAGCGGGAAAGUAGCUUGCUACUUUUGCCGGCGAGCGGCGGACGGGUGAGUAAUGCCUGGGAAAUUGCCCAGUCGAGGGGGAUAACAGUUGGAAACGACUGCUAAUACCGCAUACGCCCUACGGGGGAAAGCAGGGGACCUUCGGGCCUUGCGCGAUUGGAUAUGCCCAGGUGGGAUUAGCUAGUUGGUGAGGUAAUGGCUCACCAAGGCGACGAUCCCUAGCUGGUCUGAGAGGAUGAGCAGCCGGACUGGAACUGAGACACGGUCCAGACUCCUACGGGAGGCAGCAGUGGGGAAUAUUGCACAAUGGGGGAAACCCUGAUGCAGCCAUGCCGCGUGUGUGAAGAAGGCCUUCGGGUUGUAAAGCACUUUCAGCGAGGAGGAAAGGUUGAUGCCUAAUACGUAUCAACUGUGACGUUACUCGCAGAAGAAGCACCGGCUAACUCCGUGCCAGCCGCCGCGGUAAAAC